GACGAACGCUGGCGGCGUGCUUAACACAUGCAAGUCGAACGGGAACCUUUAUUUCGGUAAAGGUGAGAGUGGCAAACGGGUGAGUAACACGUAGGCAACCUGCCGACAGGAUGGGGACAACAUUCCGAAAGGAAUGCUAAUACCGAAUGAAGUCACCGGAGGGCAUCCUCUGGUGAUGAAAGAUGGCCUCUGAAUAUGCUAUCACCUGUCGAUGGGCCUGCGUCUGAUUAGCCAGUUGGCGGGGUAACGGCCCACCAAAGCGACGAUCAGUAGCCGGUCUGAGAGGAUGAACGGCCACAUUGGGACUGAGACACGGCCCAGACUCCUACGGGAGGCAGCAGUGGGGAAUCUUCCACAAUGGGCGAAAGCCUGAUGGAGCAACGCCGCGUGAGUGAAGAAGGUCUUCGGAUCGUAAAGCUCUGUUGCACGGGACGAAAACCGAGCUGAAAAUAUUG
rnacentral:rRNA from 1 species